rnacentral:lncRNA from 1 species
CUUCUCCUGCGGGCUAACGGUGUGGGCGACAGCCCGCACAUUCAAAUGAGGGAGCGAUUAGACCGCGCUUGCUUCUGAAGACGGAUUUCUUGAGACUUUUAUGCGAGUGUGAGGGCCAGCAGGUGCACAUUUGAAGCUCAGUGGGAAGGAAGUGUUUUCCAAGCAACAGGAGACAGCAGAUGCAGACAGGGUCCAAUUACUGCUGCUUACGGCUGAUCACGCCAUUCACUUAUGUGUGGAUACCUGGCUUCUGGUCUCAGGCACCUAGUAUGGGGCUAUGCACAUGGGAAUGCUCAUGCAUUCCUGAGAAGUUGGCUGGAACUAAGGGAGCAUUCAGAGACCACAGAUCCAGUUGACUGGUCCCUGCUGACAUCCAGUCCGCGUUGUUGGCCACAUCAGCUCCUCUUCAAACUCAUGAUGCAAAUCAACAGCUAAACAUGUUGAUAUUUUUUAUUUCUCUCAGCUAAGUGGAUCCCUGAGUCCUCCUGGUGCAGUGGAAAGAUUUGAGUUUUGCAGCCAAA